rnacentral:sRNA from 1 species
GGUUAAUGAAAUGGAAAAUAAUCUAACUCGAAGGCGCCUGAAAAGAUCAAAUUCUAUAUCCCAGAUACCUUCCGUAAGUCUUUAUGUAACUGUUGUGAUCUCUGCUUGAACAUGAGAGUAGGCCAUCUAACAUAAGUGUAAUAUCUCUAUCUAGUUUUCUUCAGAUGUUCUUAACUCUUGUUUUUCUGUCCUUACUUUCUUGUGCCAAACUCCAUUCUUUAUUAACUAAUGACUAAGAAUUCAGUGCAAAUCUUACUUACAUAGAAUUAUUUUUCAGCUUGAAGAAAUGCAGCAGCUGAGAAGUUGUAAUAGACAACUCCAGAUUGACAUUGACUGCUUAACCAAAGAAAUUGAUCUUUUUCAAGCCCGAGGACCACAUUUUAACCCCAGCGCUAUUCAUAACUUUUAUGACAAUAUUGGAUUUGUAGGUCCUGUGCCACCAAAACCCAAAGAUCAAAGGUCCAUCAUCAAAACACCAAAGACUCAAGACACA